GCCUAAGUAGUUUAAACAAAACAUAGCACUGAAGCUGCUAAAAUGAAUUCUCUCUUUAAGCA
rnacentral:tRNA from 1 species